UCGGAAUGUGAACUGCAGGACAUAUGAGCAUCGACACUUUGAACGCAUAUUGCGGGCGCUGGCUCGUCCACCGCCCAUGUCUGGCUCAGGGUCGGUUUCUCAUCCCUCCCCGGAUUUUCUGGGGCAUUGGGCUCUCGCCUCUCGGCGUGGCUUCAAGUUCUGGGCGCGUCUCUGCCUCUGGUGGACGGCUACGACUCUUGGGAUUCUCUCCCGGGUCUGCUGCCCCCUCCUCUGGCGACGUGCGCCGCUGACCACCUCUCAUUGGGAAGCGGCAACCCUCUGAACUUUCGACCUGAGAGCAGGCAAGGUGACCCGCCAAAUUUAAGCAUAUUAAUAAGCGGAGGAAAAGAAAACAACCGUGAUGCCCUUAGUAAUGGCGAAUGAAACGGGCUGAGCCCAGCACCGAACCGCCGGCCCUUGGUCGCGUGGAAUGUGGUGUUUGGGGGAGCCUCCUCGCGACGCGUUGGCCGGUCCAAGUCCACCUUGAC
rnacentral:rRNA from 1 species